UACGUAGGGCGCAAGCGUUAUCCGGAAUUAUUGGGCGUAAAGAGCUCGUAGGCGGUUUGUCGCGUCUGCCGUGAAAGUCCGGGGGCUCAACUCCGGAUCUGCGGUGGGUACGGGCAGACUAGAGUGCAGUAGGGGAGACUGGAAUUCCUGGUGUAGCGGUGAAAUGCGCAGAUAUCAGGAGGAACACCGAUGGCGAAGGCAGGUCUCUGGGCUGGUAACUGACGUGAGGAGCGAAAGCAUGGGGGAGCGAACAGG
rnacentral:rRNA from 1 species